AUUGAACGCUGGCGGCAUGCCUUACACAUGCAAGUCGAACGGUAACAGGUCUUCGGAUGCUGACGAGUGGCGAACGGGUGAGUAAUACAUCGGAACGUGCCUAGUAGUGGGGGAUAACUACUCGAAAGAGUGGCUAAUACCGCAUGAGAUCUACGGAUGAAAGCAGGGGAUCGCAAGACCUUGUGCUACUAGAGCGGCCGAUGGCAGAUUAGGUAGUUGGUGGGAUAAAAGCUUACCAAGCCGACGAUCUGUAGCUGGUCUGAGAGGACGAUCAGCCACACUGGGACUGAGACACGGCCCAGACUCCUACGGGAGGCAGCAGUGGGGAAUUUUGGACAAAGGGCGCAAGCCUGAUCCAGCAAUGCCGCGUGCAGGAUGAAGGCCUUCGGGUUGUAAACUGCUUUUGUACGGAACGAAAAGCCCUGGGUUAAUACCCUGGGGUCAUGACGGUACCGUAAGAAUAAGCACCGGCUAACUACGUG
rnacentral:rRNA from 1 species